AGAGUUUGAUCCUGGCUCAGAACGAACGUUGGCGGCGUGCUUAACACAUGCAAGUCGAACGAGAACGUCCCGGCUUGCCGGGAUUAGUAAAGUGGCGCACGGGUGAGUAACACGUGAGUAAUUUCCCUCUAAGCUUGGGAUAACACUGCGAAAGCGGUGCUAAUACCGAAUAAGACCACGGUAUCACAUGAUACAGUGGGAAAAGGUGGCCUCUGUAUAUGCUAUCACUUGGAGAUAAGCUCGCGGACCAUUAGCUUGUUGGUAGGGUAACGGCCUACCAAGGCCGAGAUGGUUAGCUGGUCUGAGAGGAUGAUCAGCCACACUGGAACUGAGACACGGUCCAGACUCCUACGGGAGGCAGCAGUGGGGAAUAUUGCGCAAUGGGGGAAACCCUGACGCAGUGACGCCGUGUGAGUGAUGAAGUUUUCGGAUCGUAAAGCUCUGUCAGAUGGGAAGAAUAAAGGCAGGGAAAUAUUUCUGCCUGAUGACGGUACCAUCAGAGGAAGCAC
rnacentral:rRNA from 1 species